UAAUGGCUCACCAAGGCAACGAUCCGUAGCUGGUCUGAGAGGAUGAUCAGCCACAUCGGGACUGAGACACGGCCCGAACUCCUACGGGAGGCAGCAGUGGGGAAUAUUGGACAAUGGGCGAAAGCCUGAUCCAGCCAUGCCGCGUGUGUGAAGAAGGCCCUCGGGUUGUAAAGCACUUUCAGCGAGGAAGAACGCCUAGUGGUUAAUACCCAUUAGGAAAGACAUCACUCGCAGAAGAAGCACCGGCUAACUCCGUGCCAGCAGCCGCGGUAAUACGGAGGGUGCAAGCGUUAAUCGGAAUUACUGGGCGUAAAGCGCGCGUAGGUGGCUUGAUAAGCCGGUUGUGAAAGCCCCGGGCUCAACCUGGGAACGGCAUCCGGAACUGUCAAGCUAGAGUGCAGGAGAGGAAGGUAGAAUUCCCGGUGUAGCGGUGAAAUGCGUAGAGAUCGGGAGGAAUACCAGUGGCGAAGGCGGCCUUCUGGACUGACACUGACACUGAGGUGCGAAAGCGUGGGUAGCAAACAGGAUUAGAUACCCUGGUAGUCCACGCCGUAAACGAUGUCGACCAGCCGUUGGGUGCCUAGCGCACUUUGUGGCGAAGUUAACGCGAUAAGUCGACCGCCUGGGGAGUACGGCCGCAAGGUUAAAACUCAAAUGAAUUGACGGGGGCCCGCACAAGCGGUGGAGCAUGUGGUUUAAUUCGAUGCAACGCGAAGAACCUUACCUACUCUUGACAUCCUGCGAACUUGUGAGAGAUCACUUGGUGCCUUCGGGAACGCAGAGACAGGUGCUGCAUGGCUGUCGUCAGCUCGUGUUGUGAAAUGUUGGGUUAAGUCCCGUAACGAGCGCAACCCUUGUCCUUAUUUGCCAGCGGGUAAUGCCGGGAACUCUAAGGAGACUGCCGGUGACAAACCGGAGGAAGGUGGGGACGACGUCAAGUCAUCAUGGCCCUUACGAGUAGGGCUACACACGUGCUACAAUGGCCGGUACAAAGGGUUGCGAGCUCGCGAGAGUCAGCUAAUCCCGAAAAGCCGGUCUCAGUCCGGAUCGGAGUCUGCAACUCGACUCCGUGAAGUCGGAAUCGCUAGUAAUCGUGAAUCAGAAUGUCACGGUGAAUACGUUCCCGGGCCUUGUACACACCGCCCGUCACACCAUGGGAGUGGACUGCACCAGAAGUGGUUAGCUUAACCUUC
rnacentral:rRNA from 1 species